rnacentral:rRNA from 1 species
CCUACGUGAGGCAGCAGUGGGGAAUAUUGCACAAUGGGGGACACCCUGCUGCCGCGACGCCGCGUGAGUGCAGAAGUAUUUCGGUACGUACAGCUCUAUCAGCAGGGAAGAAAAUGACGGUACCUGACUAAGAAGCCCCGGCUAAAUACGUGCCAGCAGCCGCGGUAAUACGUAGGGGGCAAGCGUUAUCCGGAUUUACUGGGUGUAAAGGGAGCGUAGACGGCAGCGCAAGUCUGGAGUGAAAUCACAUGGCUGAAACAUGGAACUGCUUUGGAAACUGUGCAGCUAGAGUGCAGGAGAGGUAAGCGGAAUUCCUAGUGUAGCGGUGAAAUGCGUAGAUAUUAGGAGGAACACCAGUGGCGAAGGCGGCUUACUGGACUGUAACUGACGUUGAGGCUCGAAAGCGUGGGGAGCAAACAGGAUUAGAUACCCAUGUAGUC